UUGGCCCGUGCCCUGGGGUGGGAACCAGGGCAUAGUGAUAGCAACCACGUUUCAGGCGUUUCCAGGUAUCGGCUCAUUUAAUUCCACAACAGCUGGUUAUGCUGCCUACUUUGGCAGAUUUGGAAACUGGCACAGAAAGAUUGGGGGACACCCAGCCCUAGGCAAGCAGAGGAGGCACUGACGAGGCUGCAGGGAGCACACUGUCAACCUCAGAGGAGCUUGUGGUCACAUCACAGCGCAGCUUAUCACAGAAUGUUCUAGAACCAAAUAAUAAUACAGAUCCAGAUUUCAAGCAAAACUGCCGGAUCCAAUGGAGAGAAGAUAAGGAGCCCACAGAGAGGAAAGACGCUGGUGAGGAGAGACUGGAAUAAUUCUGGGCCUCCGUCCAAGGGAGCCAUCCAGGAGGGCCUGGGGGCAUGAGUGAGGCCCUUUCUGGAAGGCUGUGCUCCCAGUAUCAGGCCGGCAUCCGUUGGCCAGCGUCCACCCCGCUGCAGGCUCUGCAGAUUGCAUCCGAGAGGCAAUUCUGGUUGUGAAGGAACUGAGGCACAGAACAGCUGCAGGACCUGAAGUGGACCAGAGGCAGUGGCAGAGCUGGGGAGAGAGUCUGGUGUGUGGUCAUUUGCUGAAGUUCAGCCUGGAAGGUGAGACCCACUGCCUGUGGGUCUGCGGGGCCCUGUGGGGACACGAAGAUGCAGGGGUUCUCUGAUGAUGAAGGGGUCUCCUCACAGGCAGGCUCUGGCCUUGGCAGUGCCUCGGGCCUCUCAGAGACACCAUGGGGCCAGUUGCCAAAGAGCAUGAUGGGUACCUGGGAGCACCUGCUCCUCCAUCAGCCACUAUAGGGACUGGUAACAGCUCUGGGCUGUCCCUUCCUGAGGUGCUUGUGGAGAUGGCAUGGGGCAGGGGAGGCACCCUGCACCCUCCUUCUGGCCCCCUGGUGCAGGGGCUCUCCCUGAAGGUAGGCCUCAGCGUCUGAUCGCCAUCCUUGAUCUUCGCCGGGGUGCAGGGAGUGGCUGCUCCACCCCCACCUGUCUCCUCCUGGAGACGGCAGAGCC